GAUUCUGAAAUGACAUCGGAUUGCCUGCUGCAAAUUACUUGGCUGCUUUUAGGACAAAUCAGAUUAGUUUCCAAGCUGUCUCCCCCUGGUCUAUGUGUUAACCACUGGAGAUUUGUGAAAUCAACAUGCAGUUGGAAAUGAGCUUGCCUUUCAUGGAUAACUAUUUUAAAGAUUAUUGCUUCUCCAUGAUAUGUAGAAUUCUUCCAAAACCUCAGGUAAGAUGUAUUGAUUAUAGGUAACUGUAUUGAAGAUAACAUUUUCUUUUUAUCCGAUUGAGAUCUAAUUUGACUACAUUUGAUGUGGAUUGUCUGAAUGUUGAAUUAACUAUCCACCCUUCACACAUGGUCUCACUAGAUUUCAUUAAUUUUGAACCAACUAGACAAGUUUGCCUUGUUACUUUCUACAUUAAUAUUAAUGCAAACCUAAAAGAUCAGAGUAAAAAUUAAGAGCAUUAACCCAUUUUUGCCAGUUGACGUGCUAUCUCAAGGUUGAAAAAUAUCCCCGGACCCAGGUGAUACCCUGAGACGUAGUGCAUUUUCUGGCCGAGUCCAGGACAGGGCAAUGUGACGUUCUGAAAUAUCAGCAAUAAAUUGCUAGAUUGUUCUCAAAUAAUAAUUUUACAUAAUUUCUUGCUGUUACUUGGAAGAUGAAAUGAGAUUAGUUUCCAAGCUGUCUCCCCCUUGUCUAUGUGUUGAAGUAUGAAAUCCCCAAAACUGGUGGCAAAAUCAGCAGGUACUGUGAAGUGGAUCAUAAAGAUUUGAGG
rnacentral:lncRNA from 1 species